rnacentral:rRNA from 1 species
GCGGACUUGAUGGAGAGCUUGCUCUCCUGAUGGUUAGCGGCGGACGGGUGAGUAACACGUAGGCAACCUGCCUGCAAGACCGGGAUAACCCACGGAAACGUGAGCUAAUACCGGAUAUCUCAUUUCCUCUCCUGAGGGGAUGAUGAAAGACGGAGCAAUCUGUCACUUGCGGAUGGGCCUGCGGCGCAUUAGCUAGUUGGUGAGGUAACGGCUCACCAAGGCGACGAUGCGUAGCCGACCUGAGAGGGUGAACGGCCACACUGGGACUGAGACACGGCCCAGACUCCUACGGGAGGCAGCAGUAGGGAAUCUUCCGCAAUGGGCGAAAGCCUGACGGAGCAACGCCGCGUGAGUGAUGAAGGUUUUCGGAUCGUAAAGCUCUGUUGCCAGGGAAGAACGUCCNNNAGAGUAACUGCUAUCGGAGUGACGGUACCUGAGAAGAAAGCCCCGGCUAACUA